rnacentral:rRNA from 1 species
CCCUUAGGUCUGGGAUAACCCCGGGAAACUGGGAAUAAUACCGGAUAUAUCGCGAAGGCUGGAAUGCGUCGCGAUAGAAAGCUCCGGCGCCUAAGGAUGGGUCUGCGGCCUAUCAGGGUAGUAGUGGGUGUAAUGUACCUACUAGCCUACGACGGGUACGGGUUGUGAGAGCAAGAGCCCGGAGAUGGAUUCUGAGACACGAAUCCAGGCCCUACGGGGUGCAGCAGGCGCGAAAACUUUACAAUGCUGGAAACAGCGAUAAGGGGACCUCGAGUGCCAGGAUACAAUCCUGGCUGUCGUGAUGCCUAAAAAGCAUUGCAUAGCAAGGGCCGGGCAAGACCGGUGCCAGCCGCCGCGGUAACACCGGCGGCUCGAGUGGUAACCGCUAUUAUUGGGUCUAAAGGGUCUGUAGCCGGCUGAAUAAGUCUCUUGGGAAAUCUGGCAGCUUAACUGUCAGGCUUUCAGGGGAUACUGUUCGGCUCGAGACCGGGAGAGGUGAGAGGUACCUCAGGGGUAGGGGUGAAAUCUUGUAAUCCUUGAGGGACCACCAGUGGCGAAGGCGUCUCACCUGAACGGAUCUGACGGCAAGGGACGAAAACUAGGGGCACGAACCGGAUUAGAUACUCGGGUAGUCCUAGCCGUAAACGAUACUCGCUAGGUGUCGGCCACGGUGCGACCGUGGUCGGUGCCGUAGGGAAGCCGUGAAGCGAGCCACCUGGGAAGUACGGCCGCAAGGCUGAAACUUAAAGGAAUUGGCGGGGGAGCA